rfam:Schistosoma margrebowiei strain Zambia genome assembly, scaffold: SMRZ_scaffold0001255
GCAUUGCUGAGGAGUCCCAUACUAGGACGAAACGAGUUUCCAGUGC